CCUACGGGUGGCAGCAGUGAGGAAUAUUGGUCAAUGGACGAGAGUCUGAACCAGCCAAGUAGCGUGAAGGAUGACUGCCCUAUGGGUUGUAAACUUCUUUUAUAUGGGAGUAAAAUGUUCCACGUGUGGGAUUUUGUAUGUACCAUAUGAAUAAGGAUCGGCUAACUCCGUGCCAGCAGCCGCGGUAAUACGGAGGAUCCGAGCGUUAUCCGGAUUUAUUGGGUGUAAAGGGAGCGUAGGUGGAUUGUUAAGUCAGUUGUGAAAGUUUGCGGCUCAACCGUAAAAUUGCAGUUGAAACUGGCAGUCUUGAGUACAGUAGAGGUGGGCGGAAUUCGUGGUGUAGCGGUGAAAUGCUUAGAUAUCACGAAGAACUCCGAUUGCGAAGGCAGUUCACUGGACUGCAACUGACACUGAGGCUCGAAAGUGUGGGUAUCAAACAGGAUUAGAUACCCUGGUAGUC
rnacentral:rRNA from 1 species